GUGAUUUCUUGCACACUUGAUAAGUCUAGAGUACAUAAACACAAUCUCUCAAACUACAUAUAUGUGCAUCGGCUGAUGGAGGAGUCUGGAGCAUCCUGUUGGACCACCGUCUCUUAGGCACCAUCUACAAUCUCCACUGAGCACUCAUACAAAACACACUACUAACUAUUCAUAUCCUGGAAAAAUUGAGCGAUUUCCAUGAGUCGCAACUCAAUGAAUAUACAUCAACUUUAGUUUUUAAGAGAUACUGAGAUUGUCUGAAAAUAACUUGUAGCGUCUUUGAAAAAUCUUCCAGAAAAUAAAAGAAAGUAAGGUUCUCGAAACAAUUGUAAGAAAAUAUUCAUUUUAAUAUAUAUUCCCUGUUCGUAUAUAUGAGAGCAAUUAAUAUCUUUCAUUCAUAAUAUUAUCAUCAUCCCAAAUUACACCAAGAUAUAACAUCAUCACAUAUAUAUAUUUUACUUAAUCAUAAAUCACUGACAUAUGUUAAUCAUAUAUGCCAUGAAAGUAUGAACUUGUAUCUAUGCAUGCAUGCAUCUCUGUUUCUCUUUCUUUUGCUAUUGUGAACAGUUCACUGUAUAAUGCCCGUGUUUCCACAUGUCCUCAAAGGAUCCAUGUGUGUCUGGCCAGCUCCGUCUAUGUCCGACUAUGGAAAUCGGCUCCGUCUAUGUCCGACACAAGUCGGCCCCGUCUAUGGCUGACAUAUAGUCUGCUCCGUAAUUACCCGUAGGUUCCAUAUAUAAAGGUGGCCAUUACACAAGUGACUGUCACUUUGACUUUUUAAUUUAUCACUAUCAAAUGAAUGUAGGGUGUGCAUAUGACCUGUUCUAUAUGCAGACUCUAUGUUAAUGUAUCGUUCGUGAAAUCACAGGUCAAUACACAUUCCAUAUAUACAUGUACCUUGAUAUAUCAUCACACUACACUGACAUCAAAGAACUUCAGUCAUGUAUAGAAUCACAUAGUCAAAUCAAUAUUCUAAUAUAUCACUUUCAGCAUAUAAAAGCACGUAAUUCACAUAUCACAUAGAUAUAAGUAGUGUUGAUGUAUACUCACCUUACUUCAGCAACUCAAUCACAACUUCCUGUCCUUAAGGUCCUUCUGCACCUUUCUGUGCACCUAUAAAGGACAUAAUUAAUCAUUAAGAUCCUUUAUAACUCUAUAUCAUAGUUUGUGUAUGUGUUACCUACCCUUAAAGUCCCUUCUAAUUACUCUUAUUGUUAAUCCUUUCAUUUUAAAGAGAUCUGGUACUAACUGUUUCUCGUCUCACGUAUUGUUACUAUUUACAUCUUUAGGUUCCGACAUUUUUCACUUAUAAACCAUUCGAGUUUUUAUCACGAAACCAACUCAUAUACCUCCCAAUUUGUCCCUAGUAUUUACUCAAAUUAUUCCAUGAUUUAUAUCAUCUUUGAACUAACCGAAUUGUAACCUCAAAGUUCAUUUUCUUACGGAAACUAAGAUUCUGCGCGUCCUGUACUAAAAUGGCCAUAAUUUCUAAACCGUAAAUCCGUUUUGCAUGAUUCAAGCGCUCACGCGAUCUACUAAUCAAGAUCUAUCCAACCAUAUAAAGUAACUUCAUAAAUUCGAAGUGAAGACUCACAGGUGAACAGUAACAGUAGCUGUCUCUUGUAAAUCGGCCAGCAUAACGGCUAUAAUCUUAACGUUUCCGUGGUUAAACUCAUGUUAUAGGCUUACCCAAGCAAUUAUAUCAACUUAAUAUCAUCAUACUCUAUAUACCCAGCCUUGUUGUUCCAUACACAAGUCAAGAACUUUCAUCUUACAAGCUUCCACAACAAACCCAUCAUGUAGCUAACUUAAUACUUAUAGAAUUAUGUAAGUAUAAACAAGCUAUAAUCGAAGCCAUUUAUGAACAUGUUAUUGCAGAGGAAAUCAAGAACCUUACCACUCAAAUCGCAGCCCUUGUCAAGCUCUUCGAAACAAGCUAUAGAACGUCAAAAUCCGAGCUAGGAAUCUUUUUCUAUGAAUUUUCUUCUCCUCCCUGUUUUAUAGUUCUUCCACUUCGAAUUUCUUCAUUAAAAUGGAUGAACUCUACAAUUUUCAUUAUGUUAACUGAAUGUUUAUCUAGUUAUUCAGGCGGUGAAAUGCUUGCUUGACACGUGGCAACAUUUAAUUUGCCAACGGUAUGUCCAGAGACUUCAUGGAUUCAUUUAAGGCUUAUUCAUUUUAAUCUAAUCAUUUUCUUGAAAUCUUAAAUUAAAUCUCACUAUUCUUGAUCUCGUUGACGAAUUCCGACGAUAUAAUAAUUCCUAGUAUAUUAUUUGGGAAUUUUUGACUGUAAAAUGAGCUCAUUUGGAGUCCGGAAAUUUUUCACUUUUUCUUAGGGAUGUAUCGGUCUGAUAUUUUUCCACUGAUCCCUGUCCACUCUUAAUCUCGAGAUUUUUCUUCAAACUCAAUAUAGGAAUGUUCUAGAGACUCCAAAGAUCAUAAACGUACUAACCUUCUCUUCAGUAUUCCUUCUGAAAUUCCGCUGGUUUAGUUUAAAGGUCAUUUUGCAGUCCGGAAAUCUUGGGUAUCCGGCUCCUUUAUUCCUUUUCAUUUUAACUUCCUUGAGCUUCGUAAAAUUUCCGAAAAUUCAUAAAUGAGUUCCACAAUUUAUUUAGAUACUCUAGGAAAAUUCUUGGCUCAUUUUGUGUCUUUUCUAUUUUCACCUAUUUUCUAAUAACUGGAUUUUAUAAUCACAGUUCGGUGCAAAAUCAUACAAUUCUGACCGUACUUCUGUUCACUAUUUCUCCGCUCUGGUAAUUUAUAAAAUAUCUAAAAAUUAUUCUGAGACUUUUAUUUUUACCCCUUCAUGUCCUUUCUCCUUUAUAGGGUCACCUUACUAUUCGCAAAUUCCUUAUAAAUCCUAAAACAAAAUAUUUUUGUUAAAUCUAAAAAUCCCGAAAACUAUUUUAAUACAUUCAAAAGUAUUAUAUAAGCAUUUGUUUGGGACCAGGGUGUGACAACUCUUCCCCCCUUUAAAGAAUUUUGUCCUCAAAAUUCAAAAAUGUACCUGGAUUGUCGAAUAGGUGAGGGUACUUGCUUCUCAUAUGCUCCUCUGUCUCCCAUGUGGCUUCUUCCACUGCGUGGUUUCUCCAUAGUACUUUGACUAGCGGUAUUUCUCUAUUCCUCAGUUGUUUGGUCUUGUGCCCUAUUAUCUUGACAGGUUCUUCAAUGUAACUCAAAUUGUCAUUGAUUUCUAUCCCGGGGUCCUUCAAAACGUGUGUAGGAUCUGACCUAUAUCUUCGUAACAUGCUUACAUGAAAUACAUCAUGGAUUUGAGAAAGUUCUGGGGGCAAUGCUAAUCUAUAGGCAAGUGGUCCUAUCUUCUCAAUUAUUUCAUAUGGUCCAAUAUACCUAGGACUCAACUUCCCUUUAUUGCUGAAUCUCAUCACCCCUUUCCAUGGCGAUACUUUCAGAAAUACUUUAUCACCUACUUGAUAUUCCAUCUCUCUUCUAUUUUGGUCCACAUAACUUUUCUGUCGAUCUUGGGUAGCCUUCAGCUUUGCUUUUACAAUGUUUACCUUAUCUACUGCAUUCUGGACAAGUUCUGGCCCUUCUAAAAUGAUAGUACCUUCUUUAUCCCAGUACAAGGGACUUCUGCACUUCCGUCCAUACAAGGCUUCAUAAGGUGCCAUUCCAAUACUGCUAUGGAAAUGAUUGUUGUAGGCGAAUUCCAUCAAAGCAAUAUAUUCAUCCCAUGAACCUUUAAACUCAAUCACACACGCUCUUAACAUUUCCUCUAACGUUUGAAUGGUUCUUUCAGAUUGCCCAUCAGUCUGAGGAUGAAAGGCUGUACUAAAAUUCAAUCUUGUACCCAUUGCUUCUUGUAAACUUUUCCAAAAUCUAGAAGUAAAUCUUGGAUCUCUAUCUGAAACAAUGGAUAUUGGUACUCCAUGUAAUCGUACAAUCUCAUUCACAUACCUUUGAGCUAAAUGAUCUAGUGUGCAACCCCAACGUAUUGGUAGAAAAUGAGCUGAUUUGGUAAGUCGAUCAACAAUGAUCCAUAUUGCAUCAUUUCCCUUCCUUGUCUUGGGUAAAUUUGUUACAAAAUCCAUAGUGAUCUUUUCCCACUUCCACUCAGGAAUCGACAACGGAUGUAACUUCCCAGCUGGAGCUUGAUGUUCCACUUUCACUUGUUGACACGUUAAACAUUUGGCUGUAAACUCUGCCACAUCUCUUUUCAUUCCAGACCACCAAUAAUGAGAUUUCAUCGUAUUAUACAUUUUUGUUGCUCCGGGAUGCAUGGCAUAUGGAGCAUUAUGAGCUUCAUCUAGAAUUUCUCGUCUUAAGUCUUCGUCAUUUGGAACACAAAUUCUGUUUCCUAACAUUAAAGUAUCCUCAUAUAACGUGAACUGAUUUUCUUGACCUUGUCUUACUCUCUCGACUGCGUCUCUUAAUUUAGGAUCAUUUAUUUGUGCCUUCUGAAUCCUUUCCUUCAACACCGGUCGGAUAUUUAGUGUAGCCAAUAAAACUCCACAGGUGUCAACCUCUAACCCAAUAUUCAUCUUUCUUAAUUCAACUAAAGAUGGGAACGUCGAUCCUUGAAGAUUUGCUACGCUACUACAUUUCCGACUUAAAGCGUCUGCCACUAUAUUGGCCUUUCCUGGGUGAUAUUCUAACGUACAAUCAUAAUCCUUUAAAAGUUCCACCCAUCUUCUCUGUCUCAUAUUCAACUCUUUCUGACUCAUUAAAUACUUUAGACUCUUAUGGUCUGUAAAAAUCUGAAAUGUCUCCCCGUAUAAGUAAUGCCUCCAAAUUUUCAAUGCAAAAACAAUUGCUGCCAAUUCUAGAUCAUGUACAGGAUAUGACUUUUCAUGCGGUCUGAGCUGUCUUGAAGCAUAAGCUAUAACUUUUCCAUAUUGCAUAAGGACACAUCCUAAGCCUUGUUGUGACGCAUCACUAUAUACUACAAAACCACCUUGUCCUGAUGGUGUAGUCAACACUGGAGCGGAUGUCAAUCUUCGCUUUAAUUCAUCAAAACUUUGUUGAGCUUCUUCAGUCCAUUGAAAAGGAACAUUCUUUCUGAGUAAUUUGGUCAUUGGUCCGGCAAUCUUAGAAAAUCCUUCAACAAAACGUCUGUAAUAACCAGCCAUUCCUAGGAAACUCCUCACUUCUGUAACAUUCUUGGGUACUUCCCAAUUCCAUAUAGCCUCUAUUUUCUUUGGGUCCACUUCAAUUCCUUUACUAGAAAUAACAUGUCCUAGGAAUACGACAUGGUCCAACCAAAACUCACAUUUACUCAGCUUAGCAUAUAAUUGGUUUUCUCUUAAGAUUUGUAAAGCUAUUCUUAAAUGCUCUUCAUGCUCAGAUUUACUCUUUGAAUAUACCAAUAUGUCAUCGAUGAAUACUAUAACAAAUUUAUCCAGAAAAGGUUGAAACACUUUGUUCAUAAGUGCCAUAAACACAGCUGGAGCAUUUGUUAACCCAAACGGCAUAACUAGAAAUUCAAAGUGACCAUAUCUAGUUCGGAAAGCAGUCUUUGGGAUAUCUUCCUUGGCAAUCUUCAAUUGAUGAUAUCCUGAUCUCAAAUCAAUCUUUGAAAACACUUGAGCCCCUUGUAAUUGAUCAAAUAAGUCAUCUAUUCUUGGUAAUGGAUAUUUGUUCUUAACCGUGACUUGAUUUAAUUUUCGAUAAUCGAUACAUAGCCUCAUAGUUCCAUCCUUCUUUUUGACAAAUAAUACUGGCGCUCCCCAUGGUGAAACACUUGGGCGGAUAAAACCUUUUUCCAAUAAUUCUAUCAACUGCUUCUUUAACUCUUUUAACUCUACGGGUGCCAUUCGGUAAGGAGGAAUAGAAAUAGGGGUACUACCAGGAACUGUCUCAAUACUAAACUCUAUGUCUCUAUCCGGCGGCAUUCCUGGCAAAUCAUCUGGAAACACAUCUGGGAAUUCUCGAACUAUUGGAAUAGUCUCAAGUUUAGUUGAGUUAAUGUUCGGGUCUACCACGUGUGCUAAAUACGCUUCACAGCCCUUUCUAAUCAUCUUAAAAGCACUCAUAGCCGAAAUUAAACAACUAAAUAUCAUCCUACAUUCUCCUUGAAAUACGACUCUCCCUUGUCCUGGUGACUCGAUCGUAACUUCUUUAGCGUAACAAUCAACUUUAGCAUGAUGUCUUGUCAACCAAUCCAUGCCUAGUAUGAUAUCAAACUCUUGAAAAGGCAAUACUAUCAAGUCUGCUUUUAAUUCCGUAUUUCCUAUUUCGAUAGGACAGUCUCUAUAUAUUUGAUCUACUACUUCCACUUCUCCUAGUGGUGUAUGAACAUUUACUUUGAGAUCUAGUAUUUCAUGACUUCUAUGCAAGUGAGAUGUCAUUUUAGAUGAUAUGAAUGAAUGUGUUGAACCAGGGUCGAUAAGAACAUACGCAUCUAAUUGAUAUAAAAGAACUUUACCCGUUAUAACCUCGGGUGCAGCUUCUGCCUCUCCUCUCGUUAAUGCAAAAACUCGUGCCUGGGUUGGUGGAUUUGAACUUUGAGCCUGUGAUCUUCCAAUGCCUCCCCCAGUGCUACCUGUACCCUUCUUGCCUCUACCUCUUCCAAAAGAUGUACCAACUCCUUUCACUUCUACAUUCUGAACACUUGGUUCAGAUACAGCCUGUAUUGGUAAGGAGGAAUAGAAAUAGGGGUACUACCAGGAACUGUCUCAAUACUAAACUCUAUGUCUCUAUCCGGCGGCAUUCCUGGCAAAUCAUCUGGAAACACAUCUGGGAAUUCUCGAACUAUUGGAAUAGUCUCAAGUUUAGUUGAGUUAGUGUUCGGGUCUACCACGUGUGCUAAAUACGCUUCACAGCCCUUUCUAAUCAUCUUAAAAGCACUCAUAGCCGAAAUUAAACAACUAAAUAUCAUCCUACAUUCUCCUUGAAAUACGACUCUCCCUUGUCCUGGUGACUCGAUCGUAACUUCUUUAGCGUAACAAUCAACUUUAGCAUGAUGUCUUGUCAACCAAUCCAUGCCUAGUAUGAUAUCAAACUCUUGAAAAGGCAAUACUAUCAAGUCUGCUUUUAAUUCCGUAUUUCCUAUUUCGAUAGGACAGUCUCUAUAUAUUUGAUCUACUACUUCCACUUCUCCUAGUGGUGUAUGAACAUUUACUUUGAGAUCUAGUAUUUCAUGACUUCUAUGCAAGUGAGAUGUCAUUUUAGAUGAUAUGAAUGAAUGUGUUGAACCAGGGUCGAUAAGAGCAUACGCAUCUAAUUGAUAUAAGAGAACUUUACCCGUUAUAACCUCAGGUGCAGCUUCUGCCUCUCCUCUCGUUAAUGCAAAAACUCGUGCCUGGGUUGGUGGAUUUGAACUUUGAGCCUGUGAUCUUCCAAUGCCUCCCCCAGUGCUACCUGUACCCUUCUUGCCUCUACCUCUUCCAAAAGAUGUACCAACUCCUUUCACUUCUACAUUCUGAACACUUGGUUCAGAUACAGCCUGUACAUUUUCCCUUUUGUUGGGACAGUCUCUAAUGAAAUGGCCUUGUUCCCCACACAAAUAACAUCCUCCCGUUUGAGCUCUACAUUGCCCAAAAUGUUGCCUUCCGCAAGUUUGACAUGUAGGCUUCACCUGUACAUUUGAACCUCGGCUAAGAGUUGGAUUUGAUCGAGGGUUAUUCAAUCUCCCGCCUUGAGCUCCAGAAAAACCUCCUCUUGUAAUAGAUUUAGUGGGUGCACUAACAUUUGGACGCUUCUUAGGCCUUCCACCAGCCUCUCCAGCAAAUCUUGUUUCUUCUCUCUUUGACUUUGAGAAGAAAGCAGGCUUCUCUUUAAUCAAGCGUUCAGCUCGAAUCGCUGCAGCCCUCAAAUCUGUAUAACUCCUAAGUUCUCCAAUAGUAAUUUUACUCCUGAUCUCAUACUUGAGACCUUCCUCAAAACGUCUACAUUUGUCCCUCUCAGUUGCCACCAUUGAUGAGGCAUAUCGGGACAAUUGGGUGAACUUGACUUCGUACUCAGCUACCGUCAUAUUUCCUUGCUUCAAAUUCAAGAACUCUCUUUGUUUCUCAUCCCUAUAGAUCUCUGGCAUAUACUUAUCUUUAAACUCUCGCUGAAAAUCAUCCCAAGUAAGUUUUGGUGGUUGAGCAUCUGAGUCAGGAAUAGUCUCCCACCAAUCAUAAGCAUCAUCUUGGAGUAAGGAUACUGCAUAAUCAAACUUCUCUUCGUCUUCACAAUGCAUCAUAUUAAACACUCUCUUUGUCCUUUUUAACCAUGACUCAGCUUCAGUUGGAUCUACAGUACCGUAGAAAUCAGUCGCCCCUAGUUUCCUAAGUUCUUUAUAAUUCCGUUUAACUGGUGCAUUCCUACGAACAACUUGGGGUUGUGACAUAGCUUGCUGCUCAGGUACUGGCCUUUCUACUUCUACAGUGGCCUCAUGCCUAGAUUCUUGUGGAAUAGGUAUAGACUCCUCGUGUCUAGACUCAUGUGGAGUAUGGGAUCCACUACCAGAUGGUUGAUGGUCAGCUGGACUCCUUUGUGCAGCCUGUUCAUUGGAUGCUCCUUCCAUUGCCUUCUGCACAUAUAAACAUAUCUUAGAUACUAUAUCACUCAAAAACCCUAACCGUACUUCUAUGCCCUAGAGGUCAUAUCCCUGCUCUGAUACCAACUAAAUGUAACACCCUUGUACCAUAUAAUCAUUUUCAUGCACUUCUAGCAAAAUCAUGUAAUUUAAUAAUAUUAUGAAAUAUCUUUUCCUGUAUAAGUGGAUAAUAUAACCAUCAGCUAUUGCUUGGCUAUAUCUUGAUCUUCACCAGAACAUAAAAUCUCAACUACUUCAACAACAUUUACCAAGCAACAUAAAAUUUCAAUACAUUUCCAUCAUCCAUAUUCACCACACAUAUUCAGAAUUUAAACAUAAAUUUAUCUUCGUGAUUUCUUGCACACUUGAUAAGUCUAGAGUACAUAAACACAAUCUCUCAAACUACAUAUAUGUGCAUCGGCUGAUGGAGGAGUCUGGAGCAUCCUGCUGGACCACCGUCUCUUAGGCACUAUCUACAAUCUCCACUGAGCACUCAUACAAAAACACUCUACUAACUAUUCAUAUCC
rnacentral:lncRNA from 1 species